AACAAACGCUGGCGGCGUGCCUAAUACAUGCAAGUCGAACGGGGAAAGCUUGCGGUUGAGUACUAGUGGCGCACGGGUGAGGAACGCGUGGAUAAUCUGCCCUAGAGUGGGGGAUAACUUGUCGAAAGAUUAGCUAAUAUCACAUAAGACCACGACAGCUGCUGCUUUUUAGGGCAAAGGCUGUUGGCUCUAAGAUGAGUCCGCGUUAGCUUAGUGAGUUGGUGAGGUAACGGCUCACUAAGGCGACGGUCUUCAACUGGUCUGAGGGGAUGAUCCGUCACACUGACACUGAGACACCGUCGAGUCCUCCGCGGGGCGGCGCAGUAGGGAAUAUUGCAAAAUGGAGGAGCCUGUGAUGGCGAGGCGGCGCGUGGGAGAUGAGGCCCUUCGUGUCGUACCGCUCUGUCGCAGGAGAAUAACAGAGUGACGGUACCCGGUAAGAAAGGAUCGGCUAACUUCGUG
rnacentral:rRNA from 1 species